GGAUUAGAUACCCUAUUAUUCUUAGGAAUUUAAGUUGGUGGAUUACGGAAUACAAAAAACAAUAGAUAUGGCGGUUCCUUAUCGAAUUAGAGGUACAUGUAUUGUUUUGAAUGAAACUGCACAAAUAAUUUUUCUAGAUUUGGAUUAGAGGUAUAACUCCAUUUUACAUACCGCUAUCUGAAAGAUUUUUCUUUAGAAGUGUCUUUUUCCAAAAUCGUGGGAUAAGGUAAGUAAAGGUGUAGACGAUGAUCUAGAUAAUAUGUGUUCCGUUAGGAAUGGAAAUGAAUCUUAAUUUGGAAUAAUGGAGUGAAAGAGAAUUUAAUAGUAAAUUGGGUUGAUGAAAUUUACUUGAAUUAGCAAUGGGGGAUGUACACAUCGCCCGUCGCUC
rnacentral:rRNA from 1 species